UAAUACGGAGGGUGCAAGCGUUAAUCGGAAUUACUGGGCGUAAAGCGCACGCAGGCGGUUUGUUAAGUCAGAUGUGAAAUCCCCGAGCUUAACUUGGGAACUGCAUUUGAAACUGGCAAGCUAGAGUCUUGUAGAGGGGGGUAGAAUUCCAGGUGUAGCGGUGAAAUGCGUAGAGAUCUGGAGGAAUACCGGUGGCGAAGGCGGCCCCCUGGACAAAGACUGACGCUCAGGUGCGAAAGCGUGGGGAGCAAACAGGAUUAGAUACCCUGGUAGUCCACGCUGUAAACGAUGUCGACUUGGAGGUUGUGCCCUUGAGGCGUGGCUUCCGGAGCUAACGCGUUAAGUCGACCGCCUGGGGAGUACGGCCGCAAGGUUAAA
rnacentral:rRNA from 1 species